AAGGAUCAAAGCCCGAAGCAGUUACCCACAGGGCCGAGCAGAUCUGUGAUCUCCAAGGCGCUGUGACAGAAACGUGUCUGUUUGAAUCGGUGGCUGAUGUAGAUACAGUCAUUUUCUAACAAUACGGAUAAUAGCCACAGAACACUAACAUUUUGUAACACUGGAAAAAUAUAACAAAAAAAUAUUUUAGGAAAACAUCUCCACUACUUGGCUGGAUCUGGAGGGACCAAAAUGUAGCUCCAUGGGACACGCGGUUCUAUUACCAAGAUGUGCACUUUUCACUUUUUAAAGGUGAAUUUUACAUAGAAAAUAUUCCCAAACGCAUCUAAGAAUGGAAUACUACGGACAGACAGCAGGCUUCUACAAAACCAAGCUGAACCCCCAGGCCUCUUGGAAGUGGUUUUGGUUUUGUUUUUCGAUCAGCUUAGUUGCAGGUGUCAAUAUGACCCUCCUCUCCUUCUAAUAGCCUUUAUUCUUAUAAAAAAUCUUUAGAGCCUCAUAUUUUUCUCAUUAAAAGAAACUGAAUGGUGCC
rnacentral:lncRNA from 1 species